rnacentral:rRNA from 1 species
UCUUUUUGUAAAAAUAUAAGGUUUAACCUGCCCCCUGAUUAAUUAAAUGGCCGCGGUAUUUUGACCGUGCUAAGGUAGCAUAAUCAUUAGUUUCUUAAUUAGAAGCUGGAAUGAAGGGUUGGAUGAAAGAAUAACUGUCUUUAAAAAAUUGUUUUAGAAAUUUAUUUUUAAGUAAAAAAGCUUAAAUUUAUUUAAAAGACGAGAAGACCCUAUAGAGUUUAAUUUUAAAUUUUUAUAUAAUUAUUUAGAAUUUUAUAUUUAUUGAUUUUUUAAAAUUUAAUUGGGGUGAUUAAAAAAUUUGAUUAACUUUUUUUAUAUUUUUAUAUUUAUUUAUAGUUUUAUGAUCCAUAAUUUAUGAUUAAAAGAAAAAUUACCUUAGGGAUAACAGCGUAAUUUUAUUUUAAAGUUCUAAUUGAAAAUAAAGAUUGCGACCUCGAUGUUGGAUUAAAA